GACGUAGGCAGCAAGCGUUGUUCGGAGUUACUGGGCGUAAAGAGUGCGUAGGCGGUUCCGUAAGUUUGUUGUGAAAUCUCCCGGCUUAACUGGGAGGGGGCGGCGAAAACUGCGGGGCUGGAGUGUGGGAGAGGUAGGCGGAAUUCCUGGUGUAGCGGUGAAAUGCGUAGAUAUCAGGAGGAACACCGGUGGUGUAGACGGCUUACUGGACCAUGACUGACGCUGAGGCACGAAAGCGUGGGGAGCAAACAGG
rnacentral:rRNA from 1 species